rnacentral:rRNA from 1 species
CGUGUAGGCGGUGAAGUGUGUCUGAUGUGAAAGCCCUCGGCUUAACCGAGGAAGUGCAUUGGAAGCUACUUUGCUAGAGUACGAGAGAGGGUGACGGAAUUCCCGGUGUAGAGGUGAAAUUCGUAGAUAUCGGGAGGAACACCAGAGGCGAAGGCGGUCACCUGGCUCGUAACUGACGCUGAAACGCGAAAGCGUGGGGAGCAAACA